AGCGAACGCUGGCGGCAGGCCUAACACAUGCAAGUCGAACGAAGUCUUCGGACUUAGUGGCGGACGGGUGAGUAACACGUGGGAACGUGCCUUUAGGUUCGGAAUAACUCAGGGAAACUUGUGCUAAUACCGAAUGUGCCCUUCGGGGGAAAGAUUUAUCGCCUUUAGAGCGGCCCGCGUCUGAUUAGGUAGUUGGUGAGGUAAAGGCUCACCAAGGCGACGCUCAGUAGCUGGUCUGAGAGGAUGAUCAGACACAUUGGGGCUGAGACACGGCCCAAACUCCUACGGGAGGCAGCAGUGGGGAAUCUUGCGCAAUGGGCGAAAGCCUGACGCAGCCAUGCCGCGUGAAUGAUGAAGGUCUUAGGAUUGUAAAAUUCUUUCACCGGGGACGAUAAUGACGGUACCCGGAGAAGAAGCCCCGGCUAACUUCGUGCCAGCCGCCGCGGUAACAC
rnacentral:rRNA from 1 species